GACCGGGGAGGGGAUGGAGGAGCGGGGGCCGGGGACAAGGAGAGCUCCGGUGGGGAUCUGACCCACUGCGCUGGGCUCACAAGGAGUGAGUGAGUCUUGGGACCCUGUCACCUCCCCACGACUGGAAUCAGUGGCUUUAACCCACUGUGUCCUCCCCAAACCAGCACCGGUCUGAGCCCUGUGUGUCCCCCAGUGCUGAGCUCAGUCCAGCUCAGACCCCGAACCAGGGGAUGCCUGGGAGGAGUUGCCAUGGCAACACAUUUGCUGGUGCAGAGAGAGAGCCCUGCUGACCAGUGCCCAGCCCCCGGCUGACCCUGGAGGAGGGGGCAGGAACUGGCAGCAGCUCGGGGCUGGCGCUGGGGCACUUGGCUCUGGACGUGCCACCUCUGGCCGGAUCUCUUGGUUCUCCACGUGACCCCUGCGGGUGCAGUCCCUCUGGGAGAUGUCCUCUUCUGUUUUCCUUGGGCUCCUCCUUCUGCUGCUGGGCGGUUUGGAAAGUGACACACGAGGAAACCGAGGCACCGAGAGAGCAGCAGCCACUGGACCUCCAAAGAGAGGACACACAGCUGGGUGUCGCGGUUCUGCAGAGGCCCCGCACCCUGAGCUCGGGUGGCAUCUCACCAGUCCUUCGGAAGGAUGAGACUGUCUGUCCCCGGCGGGGGCUUCAGGGGGCACCCCUAAGGAAGGCCCCACAGCAGGGUUUCCAGCCCCCGCCCCUGGGCACCCCCUGGCCACCCCUGCGCAUGCGCCCUCCGCAGGGAGCCCCUCCUCCAGCAGGACCGGGCCUGGCCUCACCCACUUGCUCCGGGCCAGGGCCAAGAGUUAACGUGGGAAGGGAGCUGGAGAGCGAGAGGACACGUCCAAUCAAUCAUAUUUAAACAAAAGCCUCUCCCGCCCAAGGGCCCUUUUAAAAGCUGCUUAUUUAAUUAAAAGUCCCAUUUUCCAUA